rnacentral:piRNA from 1 species
UCNGUAACUAGAUGACUCACUUUGAUG